rnacentral:rRNA from 1 species
ACUCCUACGGGAGGCAGCAGUGGGGAAUAUUGCACAAUGGGCGCAAGCCUGAUGCAGCCAUGCCGCGUGUAUGAAGAAGGCCUUCGGGUUGUAAAGUACUUUCAGCAGUGAGGAAGGUGGUAGUGUUAAUAGCACUAUCAUUUGACGUUAGCUGCAGAAGAAGCACCGGCUAACUCCGUGCCAGCAGCCGCGGUAAUACGGAGGGUGCGAGCGUUAAUCGGAAUUACUGGGCGUAAAGCGCAUGCAGGUGGUUUGUUAAGUCAGAUGUGAAAGCCCGGGGCUCAACCUCGGAAUUGCAUUUGAAACUGGCAGACUAGAGUACUGUAGAGGGGGUAGAAUUUCAGGUGUAGAGGUGAAAUGCGUAGAGAUCUGAAGGAAUACCAGUGGCGAAGGCGGCCCCCUGGACAAAGACUGACGCUCAGAUGCGAAAGCGUGGGGAGC